rnacentral:rRNA from 1 species
CUGGCUCAGGAUGAACGCUAGCGAUAGGCCUAACACAUGCAAGUCGAGGGGCAGCACAUGAGUAGCAAUACGAUGGUGGCGACCGGCGCACGGGUGAGUAACACGUAUGCAACCUACCUUUAACAGGGGAAUAACCCGUUGAAAAACGGACUAAUACUCCAUAACACAGGGGUCCCGCAUGGGAAUAUUUGUUAAAAGAUUAAUCGGUUGAAGAUGGGCAUGCGUUCCAUUAGCUUGUGGUGAGGUAACGGCUCACCAAGGCCACGAUGGAUAGGGGAACUGAGAGGUUUAUCCCCCACACUGGAACUGAGACACGGUCCAGACUCCUACGGGAGGCAGCAGUGAGGAAUAUUGGUCAAUGGAGGCAACUCUGAACCAGCCAAGUCGCGUGAAGGAUGAAGGUCUUAUGGAUUGUAAACUUCUUUUGCAAGGGAAUAAAGUGGGGGACGUGUCCUCCUUUGCAUGUACCUUGCGAAUAAGGAUCGGCUAACUCCGUGCCAGCCGCGGC